rnacentral:rRNA from 1 species
GAUGAACGCUGGCGGCGUGCCUAAUACAUGCAAGUCGAGCGAACAGACGAGGAGCUUGCCCCUCUGACGUUAGCGGCGGACGGGUGAGUAACACGUGGAUAACCUACCUAUAAGACUGGGAUAACUUCGGGAAACCGGAGCUAAUACCGGAUAAUAUAUUGAACCGCAUGGUUCAAUAGUGAAAGACGGUUUUGCUGUCACUUAUAGAUGGAUCCGCGCCGCAUUAGCUAGUUGGUAAGGUAACGGCUUACCAAGGCAACGAUGCGUAGCCGACCUGAGAGGGUGAUCGGCCACACUGGAACUGAGACACGGUCCAGACUCCUACGGGAGGCAGCAGUAGGGAAUCUUCCGCAAUGGGCGAAAGCCUGACGGAGCAACGCCGCGUGAGUGAUGAAGGUCUUCGGAUCGUAAAACUCUGUUACUAGGGAAGAACAAAUGUGUAAGUAACUAUGCACGUCUUGACGGUACCUAAUCAGAAAGCCACGGCUAACUACGUG